rnacentral:rRNA from 1 species
GACGAACGCUGGCGGCGUGCCUAACACAUGCAAGUCGAACGAAGUGGCGAACGGGCGAGUAAUAUGUGGGCAACCUGCCCUCCUGUUUGGGAUAAGCGUUGGAAACGGGGACUAAUUACGUAUUACGGGGGAUGGGCACGCGGCCGAUCAGCUUGUUGGUGGGGUGUUGGCCUACCAAGGCGGUGCCGGGUGGACGGCCUGGGAGGGUGACUGGGUACGUUGGGACUGAGAUACGGCCCAGGCUCGUACGGGAUGCGGCAGUGGGGGAUAUUGCGCAAUGGUCGAAAGGCUGAUGCAGCGACGUCGCGUGGGUGAUCGGGGCUUUCGGGUUGUUAACCUCUUACGCUAUCGAGCGGGUAGGUGGAGAAGAAGCGCCGGCUAACUACGUGCCAGCCGCCGCGGUAAUAC